GACUGCUUGGAUUUAUGUCAAGAAAGAACAUCCCUUCCCCUAUGAUUCUGCUAUGAAGUUCAUCAAUGGAGUGGUCAAUGCACGAAUCAAGCUUCAUCCCUGUGGAAAUCAUCCUUCCCGAAUCAGCCAUGAUCCAGUGACCAAAUGCUUCAACAAAAUGGAUACCUUUCUAACAAUGAAGGCUAACAGUCGCUGUGCUUGGGAAAUUGUACAUGCAACAACCAGAGAGAUGCUUCA